rnacentral:lncRNA from 1 species
AUACCAGCCCUGAUACCCGCCCUGAUACCAGCCCUGAUACCAGCCCUGAUACCAGCCCUGAUACCUGCCCUGAUACCAGCCCUGAUACCAGCCCUGAUACCUGCCCCUGAUACCCGCCCUGAUACCAGCCCUGAUACCUGCCCCUGAUACCUGCCCCUGAUACCUGCCCCUGAUACCUGCCCCUGAUACCAGCCCUGAUACCAGCCCUGAUACCUGCCCUGAUACCAGCCCUGAUACCAGCCCUGAUACCUGCCCUGAUACCAGCCCCUGAUACCAGCCCUGAUACCCGCCCUGAUACCAGCCCUGAUACCAGCCCUGAUACCUGCCCCUGAUACCCGCCCUGAUACCAGCCCUGAUACCUGCCCCUGAUACCUGCCCCUGAUACCUGCCCUGAUACCUGCCCUGAUACCAGCCCUGAUACCCGCCCUGAUACCAGCCCUGAUACCAGCCCUGAUACCAGCCCUGAUACCUGCCCUGAUACCAGCCCUGAUACCAGCCCUGAUACCUGCCCUGAUACCAGCCCUGAUACCAGCCCCUGAUACCCGCCCUGAUACCAGCCCUGAUACCAGCCCUGAUGCCAGCCCUGGUACCUGCCCUGAUACCCGCCCUGAUACCUGCCCUGAUACCCGCCCUGAUACCUGCCCCAGAUACCAGCCCUGGUGCCAGCCCUGAUACCCGCCCUGAUACCCGCCCUGAUACCAGCCCUGAUACCAGCCCUGAUACCUGCCCCAGAUACCAGCCCUGAUACCUGCCCUGAUACCUGCCCUGAUACCAGCCCUGAUACCUGCCCUGAUACCCGCCCUGAUACCUGCCCUGAUACCAGGCACAGCCAACCACCGCACGGACAGGCUCCACUACACAGCCAACCACCCCACAGACAGGCUCCACUACACAGCCAGACACCCCACAGACAGGCUCCACUACACAGCCAGACACCCCACAGACAGGCUCCACUACACAGCCAACCACCCCACGGACAGGCUCCACUACACAGCCAACCACCCCACAGACAGGCUCCACUACACAGCCAACCACCGCACGGACAGGCUCCACUACACAGCCAACCACCCCACAGACAGGCUCCACUACACAGCCAACCACCGCACAGACAGGCUCCACUACACAGCCAACCACCCCACAGACAGGCUCCACUACACAGCCAACCACCCCACAGACAGGCUCCACUACACAGCCAACCACCCCACAGACAGGCUCCACUACACAGCCAACCACCCCACAGACAGGCUCCACUACACAGCCAGACACCUUGCUACUCAACCCAACAAAACGGACACGCUGUGAUUGCCUCCUGGGAUGACCUGUUUUGAAGAAUGUCCCGACCACCUGUUGCUCCUGAGACAAGAUGGCUCCCAGAAUCAGUUCCUUUUCCUUUUCUCCCGUGACAUAAUCCAGUUUGUUUUGCUACAUUACUGACUGACAUGUUGUUGCAGUGUCAUGUACACAUUUAAAGUGGCGGUUAAAUAAAAAAACAACAACAUUGACAACUUUCAUAACAGUUACAUACCAAUAUAUAUUUUUAAUUAAAAAUAAAUAAAAAAAUAAAAAAA